UACGUAGGGUGCGAGCGUUAAUCGGAAUUACUGGGCGUAAAGCGUGCGCAGGCGGUUUGUUAAGACCGAUGUGAAAUCCCCGGGCUCAACCUGGGAACUGCAUUGGUGACUGGCAAGCUAGAGUAUGGCAGAGGGGGGUAGAAUUCCACGUGUAGCAGUGAAAUGCGUAGAGAUGUGGAGGAAUACCGAUGGCGAAGGCAGCCCCCUGGGAUAACACUGACGCUCAUGCACGAAAGCGCGGGGAGCAAACAGG
rnacentral:rRNA from 1 species